rnacentral:rRNA from 1 species
CAGUAGCCGCGGUAAUACGUAGGGUGCAAGCGUUAAUCGGAAUUACUGGGCGUAAAGCGUGCGCAGGCGGUUCUAUAAGACAGAUGUGAAAUCCCCGGGCUCAACCUGGGAACUGCAUUUGUGACUGUAGAGCUGGAGUGCGGCAGAGGGGGAUGGAAUUCCGCGUGUAGCAGUGAAAUGCGUAGAUAUGCGGAGGAACACCGAUGGCGAAGGCAAUCCCCUGGGCCUGCACUGACGCUCAUGCACGAAAGCGUGGGGAGCAAACAGGAUUAGAUACCCCGGUAGUCCCUGUCUCUUAUAC